rnacentral:rRNA from 1 species
AACGAACGCUGGCAGCAGGCUCAACACAUGCAAGUCGAACGGGUGCAGCAAUGCAUCAGUGGCAGACGGGUGAGUAACACGUGGGAACCUUCCUAGGGGUACGGAACAACUCAGGGAAACUUGAGCUAAUACCGUAUACGUCCGUGAGGAGAAAGAUUUAUCGCCCUUAGACGGGCCCGCGCCGGAUUAGCUAGUUGGUGGGGUAACGGCCUACCAAGGCGACGAUCCGUAGCUGAUCUUAGAGGAUGAUCAGCCACACUGGGACUGAGACACGGCCCAGACUCCUACGGGAGGCAGCAGUGGGGAAUCUUGGACAAGGGGCGCAAGCCUGAUCCAGCCAUGCCGCGUGAGUGAAGAAGGUCUUCGGAUUGUAAAGCUCUUUUGCCAGGGACGAUAAUGACGGUACCUGGAGAAUAAGCCCCGGCAAACUUCGUGCCAGCCGCCGCGGUAACAC